rfam:Oryza glumipatula chromosome 6, whole genome shotgun sequence.
AAUAAGUGCAGUUUUGCACUAUUUAUGUUCAACGUUUGACCGUUCGUCUUAUUUGAAAAUUUUUUAUGAUUAGUAUUUUUAUUAUUAUUAGAUGAUAAAACAUGAAUAGUACUUUAUAUGUGACUAAAUAUUUUCAAAUUUUUUAUAAUUUUUUUAAAUAAGAUGAACGGUCAAACGUUGGACACGGAUAUUCACGGCUAUACUUAUU